GACUCUCAGCAAUGGAUAUCUCAGCUCUCACAUCGAUGAAGAACAUAGCGAAAUGCGGUACUUGGUGUGAAUUGUAGAAUCCCAUAAACCAUCGAGUCUUUGAACGCAAGUUGCGCCCUAGGCCAUCAGGCUAAGGGCACGCAGAGCAC